UACGUAGGUGGCAAGCGUUGUCCGGAUUUACUGGGUGUAAAGGGCGUGUAGGCGGGUCAGUAAGUUGGAUGUGAAAUACCGCGGCUCAACCGCGGGGCUGCAUCCAAAACUAUUGAUCUUGAGUGUCGGAGAGGAAAGCGGAAUUCCUAGUGUAGCGGUGAAAUGCGUAGAUAUUAGGAGGAACACCGGUGGCGAAGGCGGCUUUCUGGACGAUAACUGACGCUGAGGCGCGAAAGCGUGGGGAGCAAACAGGAUUAGAUACC
rnacentral:rRNA from 1 species